CCUACGGGAUGCAGCAGUCGAGAAUCAUUCACAAUGGGCGAAAGCCUGACCCAGCAAUGCCGCGUGAAUGAAGAAGGUCUUAGGAUUGUAAAAUUCUGUCCUAUGGGAAGAAAAAAAUGACGGUACCAUAGGAGGAAGCCCCGGCUAACUACGUGCCAGCAGCCGCGGUAAUACGUAGGGGGCAAGCGUUAUCCGGAAUUACUGGGUGUAAAGGGUGAGUAGGCGGCAUGGUAAGCCAGAUGUGAAAGCCUUGGGCUUAACCCGAGGAUUGCAUUUGGAACUAUCAAGCUAGAGUACAGGAGAGGAAAGCGGAAUUCCUAGUGUAGCGGUGAAAUGCGUAGAUAUUAGGAGGAACACCAGUGGCGAAGGCGGCCUGCUGGGCUUUUACUGACGCUGAGGCUCGAAAGUGUGGGGAGCAAACAGGAUUAGAUACCCCAGUAGUC
rnacentral:rRNA from 1 species